CAACGAACAGAAGCUUCUUUGCGGACCGCAGGGCUCCUCACUUCAGGACAGAAAAAAGCCUCGCAGUUGUUUCUGUCUUCGCUGACUGAGCCUGGCAGACCUCACCCUCUGCUGCUCGGUUGUGUUUUCCUCUCUCGUCCUGACGCGCCGCUCAUCUCCGCAGACACACGCAGCGAUGAAGCGAUACCCCGUCGCUACUGGCAACCUGUUGCCAUAGCAAUCCUCCAGGUAUCUCCGAAUUCAGGUAUAAUCCCAAAUGUGACUCAAAGAACACAAGACACACAUUUAAAGAGAACUCAUGAAAAGAAAAUCAUCUAUUACCCUUCCCAAGUGACAUCAGUGGAGGUCAAAGCAUGCAUUAGUCACUGAGGAGUGAAGCAGGUCCAGCACAUCUUGGAGCCCCUGCAGGGUGAACAUCUUCAGUGCUCUCUCCAGUCAGUUCUCCAAAAAGAAAAAUCUUGCAGCUAUAACCUGACCUUGUGAGCCCCGAUACCUCCUUGGGCUGGGAACCAAUUUCCUUUGUCUGACGGCUAAAUGUUUGGAUGCAGUUACACAGAGAAACUAGAGGAAGUGAAGGAAAAACUGAUCAUAGACCAAAACCACCAGCGGGUAAGCAUCCUUAAGGCUGGAUUCACUGCAGGUUUUACACACUGAUGCCACUGACACCGGUUAAGUUAAAUCAGCUCUUUCUCUGUCAUUUUGGCAGCAGACCCCUGUCUGGCCAACAUCUGGGUUUCACUGCAAGGCCAAUAUUGGCAUAAGCAAACGACCAACAUUGCUGUAACCUUAAUCCAUACACCCAUCACACACAUUGUCAUUUUAGCAGACUUGGAAGAACAAAAACUAUUCAAGCACAUUGCCAAAAGUCGCAGCCAACACAUGCUGCAUGAUGCAAUGCCAGCGACUUGGCAGCUGGCAGCUGAAACCUGCUCAUCACCACUUGAUACCUCUCAGCGGCUCAGUUAUCCUUUUAUUUUGUAAAUCCUACCUGGCUUGUGUCAAGAUGGCUGUGAAUCAAGAGGAGAAAUCCAUUAAGUACACAAGCAUUGAUCGACCCAGGCUGGGAUGCCUGACGUUGACCCAAAACACAGUUACACCUGAUGGUGAAGAAAAUAAAAAAUAUAUAUCCACAUAUUUUUACUCAUCCAAACUGAGGGGGCGGGAUGCUGUACAGAUUGUAAAGCCGCUUGAGGCAAAUUUGUGAUUUGGCCAUAUAAUUAAAAUUUAAUUGACUUGACUUGCUCCAGUAUUCUUUUCUCAUGUUGUUUUCAGACUGAAUUUUGCCUGGUUUGGGUAAUGUUUCAGUCUGAGGGAA